CCUACGGGAGGCAGCAGCCGAGGAUAUUGGUCAAUGGGGGAAACCCUGAACCAGCGACGCCGCGUGCAGGAAGAAGGCCUUCGGGUUGUAAACUGCUUUUCUGGAGGAAGAACCUUAGGGUGACUGUACUUCAGGAAUAAGGGAUGCUAAUCACGUG
rnacentral:rRNA from 1 species